GCGCCAGUGGUUUAGUGGUAAAAUCCAUCGUUGCAUCGAUGGGCCCCGCGUUCGAUUCGCGGCUGGCGCA
rnacentral:tRNA from 1 species